UACGUAGGGGGCAAGCGUUGUCCGGAUUUAUUGGGCGUAAAGAGCGUGUAGGCGGCCACACAGGUCUGCUGUGAAAACUCGAGGCUCAACCUCGAGCUGUCGGUGGAAACCGUGUGGCUAGAGUCCGGAAGAGGAGAGUGGAAUUCCCGGUGUAGCGGUGAAAUGCGCAGAUAUCGGGAGGAACACCGGUGGCGAAGGCGGUUCUCUGGGCCUGUACUGACGCUGAGGAGCGAAAGCGUGGGGAGCGAACAGG
rnacentral:rRNA from 1 species